CGUGACACUUUGAAAUUGUGCCACAUCAUUACUUGAAAAUUAAAAAUUUUAUAUAAAUUUUCAGGUGAUGACGUGGUACAAUAUUAAAGGUGUAAC
rnacentral:pre_miRNA from 1 species